AUUGAACGCUGGCGGCAGGCCUAACACAUGCAAGUCGAGCGGAUCGUCGGACGGGUGAGUAAUGCCUAGGAAUCUGCCUGUUCGUGAGGGAUAACGUCCGGAAACGGGCGCUAAUCCCUCAUACUAUCAGAUGAGCCUCGGUCGGAUUAGCUAGUUGUUGGAGUAAAGGCCUACCAAGGCGACGAUCCGUAACUUGUCUGAGAGGAUGAUCAGUCACACUGGAACUGAGACACGGCCCAGACUCCGACGGGAGGCAGCAGUGGGGAAUAUUGGACAAUGGGAGAAAGCCUGAGCCAGCCAUGCCGCGUGUGUGAAGAAGGUCUUCGGAUUGUAAAGCACUUUAAGUUGGGAGGCGUUACCAACAGAAGAAGCACCGGCUAACUUCGUGCCAGCAGCCGCGGUAAUAC
rnacentral:rRNA from 1 species